rnacentral:lncRNA from 1 species
AUGUUAGAGAUUCAGAGGCUUGAAGCUGAAGUAGAGAAUCACAACACAAGGAACAAUGAGAAGCUGAAGAAGGCACUAAAUGAUGCAUCGGCAAAGUCAGGUGACCUCUCACGAGCCAAUCAGGAGCUUCGAGAGAAGGUGUCUGAGCUGGAAAAGUUGGUGUCCAAUCAGAAGUCUCGACUGAGUCAGUAUCUGGACAACAGAACCACUCUGAAACACUCUCUGAGAAUCAAGCACCUGGAAGAGAGUUUGAAACGGCUCCAGGAUGAGGCAGAAGUGAGACUCAGGGAAGUUUAUCUGGAGUCAAAGCAGAUCACAGAGAACAUGGACAAGGACCACAGAGGGGUCUGCUCUAAAUCUGAGAGCUUUAAUGGCCAGGCUGAGCCACAGAAACUCACAGAGCUUUCGCAAGAGGGGAGAAGACAGCACAUGGUCCACUUCAGCUCAGGAGAUUGCCUUUUGGGUUUUCUUUCGGGAUCGCCGGUGACCCGCUGUGUGGAAACGCACUGAGCCAUGCGUCAGUUGAAGGGCAAGCCGAAGAAGGAGUCGUGGAAGGACAAAAAGGAGCGCAAACAGGCCAUGCAGGAGGCGCGGGAGCAGGUGACAACCAUCGUUCUACCGACGCUCAUCUUGCUCGUGCUGCUCAUCGUCCUCCUCGUCUACGUGGCGACGAGACCCGGAGCCAUCGAGUAAAAAGACUCCAAAUAGCCAAAUCUCCUCUGCCCUUGUCUUUCUCUUUCAUUUCCCCUUGUUCCUUCACAAUGCAGAGUUCGGUGGAUGAAUUGGACACAAUCAUAAAGAUGAAUGGAUUGAUAAAGGAGUGGUUUUCUGUGUCAUGUUUGGAGUAUGUUGAAGGAGUCUUCCAUUUCGGCUUCUGACAGAGCACCUCUCCCACAGGGUUCUAGUUUCAUGCCAAAGCACCUGAGACGCAGCAGACUCGGACUGACCCAGGAAGCGGGCCAGAUCUGAUGCCGUCAAAGUCAAUACAAAUGAGAAGUGACUGUAGUAUUGCACAUGUUUGUAGCAUGCAAAUGCACACACACACACAGAUCCACACACACACACAGAUCCACAAAUGAACAGUGAUGGGUGUCACAUGAAACCAUUAAUGACAGAAUUGUAUGUUACCCAGAAUGUAUACUUCUUAUUGCUCAUUACCGAAUCCCUCUUAACAAGCAGUUGCUGAUGUUUUUGGUAAUGUGUGUGUGUGUGUGUGUGUGUGUGUGUGUGUGUAGUAGCCUACUCUUAUUUUAAAAUGUAUUCCAGCAGGACUUGGAUCUUAAAAUGUGCCUUAAUGUUUAAUGACAUAACAGCAUUUAAAGUAUUAAUAAAGAAAUAGAAAGCCAUGCUGACUGCUUUAAGUAUGGUUUUAAUAAGACUGUUUUGAUCUUUCAAGUUUUUCCUCCCAUCUAUCUCUUACUAAAAGUAUUUCAUUCUUUUAGGAACUUUGCUUUUGCUGACAAAACGUUUUCUCGCAAAAAUAAUCGCAUCUCCUUAAGAAACUUAACGUGCACAAGAACUGAAAUAUAGUUUUUCUGCAAAAGCUUUGUGAGUGCAUGCAUUGAAAAACAGUUUUUCCUCUCGCAAAAGUAUUUUUAUUCCCCUGAAGAACUUUGCAUUCGCUUACACAAGCAUUCAAAUAUAGUUUUUCAGCACAAACGUUUUAUGAGAGAAUGCACUGACUGAAAUAUCAUUUUCCUCCCAUCUCUCAUGCAAAAAGUAUUUCAUUUCCCUGAGAAAUUCUGCAUUAGCUUGCAAAACGUUUUGCGCUCUCGUUCACAAAAGUAAUGCAUUGUCUCGUAAAACCUUGCGUUUGCUCACAAAAGCAUUGAAAUAUAUUUUUUUUCUCCCACUUCAUAUUAGCAAGAGGACUCAGUUACUUUGUGGAACACAUAAUGUUUGCGAACCAAGAAAACCAAACUAGUUUCAAUAUCUUUUUGAUACACUAGACAAACUACACACUUUCUCUGCCUGCCAGAAG